CAAAAUUAAACUGAUGUAAUCUGUUAUGUAACAUUUUUGUGGGCUUUGUGUAGAUAUGACUUUUGAGGUCAGAGGCCUUAAUCUUUGCCUUCACCAACCUGUGUCUGUCUGUCUGUGUGCCUGUAUGCUUGCCUCCAUGUCUUGUGUGCCAGUCUGUGUGCAUGCCCCACUCUGUAUAUGUCUGUGUAUCUGUCUGUCUGUUUUUUCCUGGAUAUCUGCUGGCAUCUGCUCCUCACUGUCUCUUUAGCUUCCCAGCCACCUUCCUUUUCUAGGGCUGGAGUUAGAAAUAGUACCCCGACUCAGGGUUACUAUCCCUGCUGAGACUUCUUCUGCAGGGGCCACAGAUGUGGAGCCUUUGGGCUAAACCAGAGGUUCUCAGUCCAACCGGAAACACAGGAGGAACUCUAGAACAUUUGUGCCUUGGAAAGCCUUCUGUUUGAGAAGCCUAAGGCACCGACUGCUUCACAAGGUCUCCAGAAACUUCUAACCUCCAGAACUUCCUUUUUGGCUUCAUAUUAAUCACCUGGUUAUGGAGGUCUGGACUCACACGAGGGGAUCCUUAGUGUCCGGAUGAAGUUAGUCUUCCCAUGGCUCCUAUUCUCUGGUCACAAGUUCUGGGAAGCACAACAGAAGUCACGUCUCGAAAGCAGCCAGUGCCUGGCUUCUGAUUGGCCUCGGCUUUUCUCUGGGUCAGCAGGCAACUGCUCAACUGCUCAGGACCGGCUGCUUGGCAGGCUGAAUGAAGUUAAUUAGUUCAGGUGGGACUUGAGUGCAGGAUCUCGGUGUCGCUGGCAUCCCUUCUUAUCUAUCUGAGCAAAAUGGAUGCAGAGUGACAAGCGAGAAGCUGCCAGGUCUGGCCUCAUUUUAGCCACAGGACUCACACCAGCAAGUGUCAUAUUGUCUUUGAAGAGGAAGCAAUUGAAGUCCAUAACCUCAUUCUGCCAAUUCUCACAACUCCCCCUCUUGACUUCUAAACAACUCAUCAGUUCUAAUAAAUCAAGGUUAUACUCAGUUGAGAGUGAGCUUACCUUUCUCAAAGACAAGAUUUUAUUUCUUGAUGUUUUAAGUACUGUCUAGGGGUUAGUUAUAGACUAAUUGAGUUUCUCUCAAAUUGAGAUCCUAAUGCCUAAUACCUCCAAAUAUUGGAGCUGAAACCUUUAUUGUUCAAAGAAGGUAGGUAGGGCAAGCUUAAAAUGAGCUUCAUGGAUGUGACUAUUGGAAGAGAAAAUUUGGAUAGAGCCAUGCAUCAAUGUGUAGUGAUGCUAAAAGACAGAGCUAAGACAGACAAUUAGAAGAGAAGGGGAAAGACUGAGCUACAUUCCUCCUGCAGCUCUUCAAAGGAACCAGUCCUACUCUGGGCUUCUUACCUCCUGAACUGGGAGAGAGAUUUCUGCUCCUUCCUGGUACAUCCCUUGAUAGUCUUUGCAAACUAACACAGCAUGUCAGUAUUGCAUGUUCUUAAACUCAGGCUGCUCCUUUCUGAGGUUAGUGAUUAGAGUCUAACUUAAAAUCCAGGAGCCCUGUCCAUGGCUCUGUGGCUAUGCAACAGAAAAGGCUGGGCUGCAACUCAUGAGCUUGAC
rnacentral:lncRNA from 1 species